rnacentral:rRNA from 1 species
GGGCGUCGAAUUGUUUGGUCGAGGCGGCGACAGGGGCAAGGGAAAAGGGGAGGCUAGCGUCGUCGAAGGCGCUUCUGCCUCGGCGGGGGUAAUUUUAUGGCUUGAGCGAUGGGGGGGCGUAGAGAGUGAGGGGGCGAGGAGGAGGAGCCGGAGGCGGCGGGGGCGGAGGCGGAGGGGCUUAGGGUUAGGAUCGCCGGCCGCUCGCGCCGCUACCCGCGGCAGCGGAGGUGCCACCGCCGCGCGAAGCGGAAGAAGGGCGGGAGGGGCGGCAGCAUGCCGCAGCUCGGGGGCGGGAGCGGCCGGCGGCGGCGGCGACUGCCGCGCCACCACCUCGAGUCGCCCCACGGGGCCGCCCCGCCGCACCUCCGCGCCGCCGACGGCUGCUUCGCGCCGUGCCUCCACCACCGGUACAUGCACGCGGUCGGGCCCCGCGCGGAGUGCGACGAGAUGAGGGUGCCGUUGCGCCGGCUGGACCCGGUCUACAUGCUCGAGAAGCAGCUCGAGUCGAGUGUGGAGUUGCAGUUGGAGUACCCAAUGCUAAUAAGACCUAUGCCCGUUAGUAGACCCUUCGGUUCACUCGUCUUGUGAAUACGUCUGUAUCUCCGGCGAAUAUCCACAGAGUAUCUUUGAAUACCCCGGAGACUCCUUUUGUAGUAAGACAUACCAGUUAGUCAACCGUCACCGGGAUGAAAUCUAAACCGUAGAGCAAACGGAGUAAACUCUCGUCACCAAGAUGUAUCGGGUUAAAGUAGACCGAACUCUCAUUACAUAGGACACUUUGUAUGUAUGACCAAACUGUAUAUAUUCUUGUAACUGUUUCAACGUAACCAGUUUACGGGGCACAAUCAUUAGGUACCAUGCCGACUACUACAACAACUGACGAGAGUACCCUCUCGUGACACCCUUGACAGGUUUCACUUCAUACUCGGAAACACCCAGUUUCCACCCUUGGUAACAUUAAACCUUGAGAUAGGGCUUAUGUAAUUCGUGGAUUUCUUCAAGCAAUGUCGGUAUCUCUUCAGGGGUGGUGACUUUCUACUUAGAGGUCUUUCAAGUCCGGGAAGUCUAGAACUUUGUCCUAAACUUUCAUACCUCUCAAGUUCUUUUUCGUGUCUACACUCCCUGUUUAGUUCCAGUUCGUGACUAGUGUCCGCCUCAUGUCUAGCUGCCCUCUUUGGUUCCUCGUCGUAUCUAUCCUUCCUAUUUCCGUCUUUCUCACAUCUAGUAGGACUGUUUGGUGCCCGAUCACACCUAGUUAGACUAUUCGGUGCCUUUUCGUAACUGGCGAAACCUCCCUACUACUCCAGCCAAUUUAACACGUUAUAACUGACGAAGUUUCAUUGAAGGUGAAGGCCCUCGACUUUUAUCACCUUCCAAUCAAAACAAUCAUAGACAUAAAUAAAGUAGACAUAUUAGAUAAGUUAACCCACAAAAAUCAAAACGACACCUUCCACAUAACUAAACCCACUCCCAAUACGUGUGACUUAACAAAGCACUCUUCUUUACUGGUAAGUAAGGGCUGGGGGACUCAAAAGUUUCGGUAAGUAAACCGUGUAGUUCUUACGAUGAGGGUGUGCCUCAUACUUCGUUGUGGUAACAAUGUGACAUGUAUUCAACAUAGUAAAGUGACAGUACCAAAAAGAAAAAGUAUCUUUGUAAAGUAUCUAUUGAUUUCACCCUUAAACACAGAAGGGAGACCUUUCUUCAAGAGAAGUUUAUACCUAAAGACAGUGAAGUAACGAAAAAGUAUCUCGAACUAGAACUUUACCUAGUAACCUAGUAAGUCACAUUAGUAGUAGAAACAAGUCAAGUUACGAGUACAAGAUCGAUAGGUCGAAGAGAUAAUUGUUUUAUAUAUGAGGGAGACAGCGUCAUGUAAAGUUCUCAAAAUCUAUCAUCCAUCACUUAUCUUUGAGUCUUCGGGCAACCUGUACUACAGAAG